CUUCCAUUUCCCAGAGAGGCCAGAGGCAGAGGGGUGCAGAAGAGAGAGCAGAGCCCCUUUGCCUGGGCACAUCUGGGCUCACUACAUGGGAAAGGGCCCCAGGACAAGGGAAGACGAGAAGAGACAGGCCAGGCCCAAGGAGGGAGAGGACCUGAGAUCGAAGAUAGGAGAGAGGAAGACAAGAAGGAGAAGCAGAAAUGAGAAGUUCUGGGGGCUGAGAAGUCCAAGAUCAAGGUGCUGCCAAUUUGGUUCCUGGUGAAUGAGCAAACAGCACAGAAAAAGAAACAGCAGUAUAUGUGGAAGAAAGCAAGAAAAAUCAACUGGCCUGGAACCUAAGACUUGUCCAAAGAUGUCACAGAGAGUAAAAUGAGAAAAAUCCAGUAGCCCGUGCCCAGAGCAGUUCCUCGUACCCAGCAGAAGGCUAACAAGCCCUGAGAUGAAUGAUGCUCUUCCCAAGGAAGGCAGAGGAGGCGACAGUCCAUUUGCGUUCUCUCCUCUGCAAGUACAGGAUCUCGUUUGAUUCUCAAAACCACCCUAGAGGAGACAGGAGGCACCUGAGGCCCAGAGACGUGAAGCCACCUGUCCAAGGCCAUACAGCAGAUAACUUAUUCUGGAGGAAGACACCUGCCAUGCCGUGAGGACAGUCAAGCAGUUCUGUGGAGAGAUCCAUGUGGUGAGAAACAGGGGCCUCCUGUCAACAGGAAGAACAACCUGGCAGGCCUGUCUUGGAUUCAGAGCCUCCAGCCCCAGUCGAGCCUUCAGAUAACUGCACCCUUGGCUGUCAUCUCAACUGCAAUCUCACGACAGACCCUGAGCUGGAACUACUCUGUUUACCAAUGCCUGGCCCACAGAAAGACUAUGAGAUAAAACAAGUAUAUUGUUUUUAGAAGAUAUGUUUUGGAGUAAUUUAUUAUGCUACAAUAGAUAAUACAGAAUUUGGUGAUUUUAUGAUUCUCAACUCCUGGCCAAAGCAAAGCACACAACAAGUCUCAAAGAAAAGUCUCACAAGUGGAAUUGAAAGUACAAAGCUGGCCAGACAAGCUUGUGCAGACAUGUAUGUGGUGGAGUUGAAAAUCACACACUACGACUCACACAAGUGAGUAAAACCUGCGUCUUUCUUAAUUUUUCUUGUACUCUUCUCAUCUAGAUCUAAUGAGAUACUUCCUGCUGUUGACAGGCAAUAAAUGAAUGAACGACAAAAACAAAACAAAAAGAAAAGAAACAAAACAGAAAGAAAAGAAACAAAACAGAAAGAAAAGAAAGAAACAAAACAGAAAGAAAGAAAAGAAAUCUUUAACUUGCCCACUACAGGUUUCUCUAUUUCUGCAUGUUCAAGCAAAUCUCCUUUCAGCAAAAUACUCAUCGUUUUCUCCCUAUUCCCUCUUCUGCUAGCCAGAUGUCUCUCUUCCUGGUGCAGGGAGACAUUUACAGACCUCAUGGUGGUGGGAAGAGGAGUUCAAGGUCGGUGUGGAGUUCUCUGCAUUCUUCCCACAUACCUUCCCCACACACAAUGGGACAGGGCUGGUCGGGCCUGGUCCCUGGGAUCCCUGGUGGCAUUGGUGAUGGUUGGGGAUGGAGAGGGGUACUGAUGAAGUGAGUGGUCCCCGCACAAGGCUGGUGGUGCAGAUCCUACCUCUGUGUUCUUGAUUUCUCUUUUUUUUUUUUUUUCUUUGAGACAGAGUUUUGCUCUUUUUGCCCAGGCUGGAGUACAAUGGCGUGAUCUCAGCUCAUCACAACCUCCGCCUCCCGGGUUCAAGUGAUUCUCCUGCCUCAGCCUCCCAAGUAGCUGGGAUUACAGGCAUGUGCCACCAUGCCUGGCUAAUUUUGUAUUUUUAGUAGAGACGGGGCUUCUCCAUGUUGGUUAGGCUCGUCUCAAGCUCCCGACCUCAGGUGAUCCACCUGCCUCGGCCUCCCAAAGUUCUGGGAUUACAGGUGUGAGUCACCACACCUGGCCUGUGGCCUUGAUUUCUACCCUUUCCCUGGGACCUAGGACCGCCUGGCUGCAUUCUACCCCUCCAGAAGAGGCAGAGUUCCGAGAGCCACUUCCUAGACUGCUUCUUUAGACAUUUCUAAACUACCUCCUGGGCAGCGCCAUAAUGUGUUACACCUUCCUCAAUCACUGCUUUCUUAAAGGAGUUCACUGAAAUUCCCCACAGCUGUCAUCUGAGAGUCAAAUUCCACCUACCUUGUGCGGUGAAAUUUAGCUGCAAAUGUGGCUGGGGUGUCUCCCACACAGCCCUCUGAGUGUCCACUGGGGUGAGGGACAGAGCUUUUUGCUUCUCACCUUCUCUCUUCCUUGAGUCCUGCUGUUCAGUAGCUGUAUCUCUCCAUCCCGUCCUACCUCAUCCGUCCUGGAUGACUUGCUUCGAUUCAACCCUACACUUACUUCCCCGGGCAAUGAACGUCACCUUAGCCUUCACCCUGAAGGGCUACAGGAGAACGAGAAUUAUAGAAAGUGAAAAUACAUCCCUUUGCUAUUUUAUAAGUGCUAUUUCUAUAACACAUGCAUACCCGAAGCACACACACUUGCAUGCAGAGACCCAGAGACAAGCUGAUUCCAAGACCCCAAACACACUAGAGACACACCACAAACACCCUAGGGCUGAACUGGGGCCUGCUCAGGGAACCCUUGCCUGUGACUUCUCAGUAUCAUCCAAGGGGACCCACCUGCUCCUGGAGCCUCCAGGGGGAUCCCUUGUUUACUCUCAAGAUGAUUGUUCUCACCCCUUCUCUCAAAGGCCCUGGGAGUGAGGCAAAGAGGAGGGAGCGCCACCUCUAAUCAGAUCCUCCUCAGGAUAAAAAAAAAAUCAGCAACUGGAGAUGCCCCUGGCUGGUGGACUACUUCUUUUUUUUUUUUUUUUUUUGAGAUAGAUAGAUAGAGUCUUGCUCUGUUGCACAGGCUGGAGUGCAGUGGCGCAAUCUUGGCUCACUGCAAUCUCCACCUCCCGGGUUCAAGUGAUUAUCCUGCCUCAGCCUCCUGAGUAUCUGGGACUACAGGUGUACGCCACCACGCCCGGCUAAUUUUUGUAUUUCUAGUAGAAAUGGGUUUCACCGUGUUAGCCAGGAUGGUCUUGAAUUCCUGACCUUGUGAUCUGCCCACCUUGGCCUCCCUAAGUGCUGGGAUUAUAGGCAUGAGCCACUGCGCCCAGCUGGACUUCUAUAGCUUCUACUGCCUCCUGUCCCUGCAGGCUCUUAGAUGGGUAUCUGGGCUCAGUCUCCUUUGCUGAGCGCCAGACACCUUGGUCAGCUGCUCCAGGACUCUGUCUGAUUUCCCAAAGGCAUCUCCAAUGCAGCCAUCCCAAACUGACUCAUCCUCUUCCCCAGGACAGAGACAGGCCUCUCUCCAUCAAUCCCUCAUCCUCUGGCCCUCUAUUCUAACUACCCCUCCCUCUCUCUAACACUGCGAUGGGCAGGGGCUUAUCUUCUUCUUCCCACCUGGUCCUCCUGUUUCUACCUGCCUCCAACCCCCUCACGGCAACAGGGGGACUUAUCUUGAUUGGAAAGUGGGUCUCAUGGAUUUGCAGCCUCACGUUGAAAAACCUGUCACCAACUCCCCAGCGCCCACAGGAUCACACCCUUGGGCAGAGCAGUAAGCCCCAUCCUUCCCUGGCCUGGCCCAAGUGCCCCGCACCCAGCUGCAGCCGAGGUGAGCAUUGCAGGGUUCCCCUCCUGGGCCUGGCACCCUCUGGCUUCGGCCCCUGUCACACACAGGGUUGGAAUGCUGUAGCUCCUUGCAGUCCUGCUGAACUCAUUUUUCAAGAUCCUGCUUGAGUCACCUCCCUAGGGAAAGCAUCCUUAGUCAGAGUUUAUCAUUCCCUUCUCCAAGUUACCCUGGAACCAUAUUCAAGUUUCUCCCAAGGCAAUUCUCCCAUCCUCUGCCUGGCUGCAGCACCCUCACCUCUGGUCUGGACUGUCAAAGUCGCCUCCUGACUGCCCCUUGCCCUUGCCCCCUGCCCCUUCCAGUCGGCUGUGGACCCAACAGCCCAAAUGGUCCUUUGAAAAUGCCAGUCAAUACACAUCUCUCUGCUCACAACCCUCCAGCACCUCCCAUUUCACUCACGGUCAAAGCUAAAACUGCACAGUGGCCUCCGACUCCUCCCUCUCUGGUCCCCCUUCCCUUUGGACCUUCACUUCUACCCUCCAUUCUCUCUCCACCCCAGCUUGCACCAGCCUCCUUGAAGCCCUGAACACUGCAGGCCCCUCCUCUCUCUGGGCCUUGGCACGUCCCCAGACACCAUGCUCAUCUCCCUCGCCAGGGACUGUCUUUGCUGCAGUCUUGCCUUCUCAGGGAAGCCCACCCUCCCUGCCCUGGACACCACUGCAACCAGCCCCUACUUCCUGGCCCUCCUCCCCCUGCCCCACUUUUCUUUCUUUCCAUAGCAUGCGUCACCUUCUAAACAUAUUAUUUAACCAAUUUUUAAUUUUUUUUAUACUCCAUCUCCCUUGCAAAAAGUGUCAGCUUCACUAGGGCAGGGUCUUUACCUAUUCUGUUCACCGGUGGCUCCUAUGAGCCUAGCAGGGUGCUGGUACACAGUGUGCACUUAAUGUUCAAGCAAUCGAUCCAUCCACUAAAGCUGUUCAUUGGUUUUUGUGGGGGCUCCCUCGGCAGUUGGGGAGGUCCUGGAGACUGAGUUCAUGCUCAGUCACCUCUGGAUCCUCAGGGCUUAGCCACUGCCUUGGCCACAGUGGGUAUGCAAGAACCAUCUAUUGAAUAAAUAAAUGAAUGGGGCCUGCUCCAUUGGUCAAGGGAGAGACUUAUGGGCUGUGCAGAUCAGAGGAUCCCUCUGCCAAGUGAUAUUAUUGCCAGAUUGUUCCUGGACUCCUCACCUGUGCCAGGACCUCACUCUCUCCAGAAUCCUGCCUCACCCCUUUCCCCUUGGGUCCAGUUCCCUCUGCCAGUUUGGAAGUGGUUGAUAUUCAUCUCCACUCCAGAGAGGCUGCCUGAAUACUGCAUAAAACUUGAUGGUUUCCGAGAGAAGCAUGAACUGUGAGCAGGAUCAAUCCCUCACCCCAAAGAUUUGAAGCAAAGUGGUGCAACCUGACUGCAAAAGGUGUUCUGGUGGCCUGGGCAUAGGCAUCAAGCCAGCCCUGGGCAGGGAAGCUGCUGGUAACCCCAAUAGAAGGUGUCUUGCCCUUCCUAGGUGUCUUUCUAAAGACAGGGACUUGGUGCAGGGGCUCAAACAACCCUACACACAGAGCUGGAGCGAGAAGCCACAGUGGCCCGGGGCCUCGCUCACCCCAUCGCCUUCCAUUUCACCCUCUCCUCGAGGCGCUCGGGCGCUAUCAGGAGGUGAUCAGGGCGGGACUGAGCUCCCCAGGCCCAGGCUGGAUCCCAUUGUAGGCUUUGGGGGUUUCAGGCUGUUUUUGGAACCUCGGUCAUGUGUCCUCCCAUGUAACCUGAGCCCCCUGACACGGCAUGAGUCUGCACUCCAGCUCUGAGCCACAUCUGCUUCUCAUUUCCGCCCCAGGAAAACGGCCCAAUUUCCAGGAGCCACUGGCCUAAGCCAAGCCUCCAGCCUCUCAGCAGCCAACUCCACCCAGCCCAGCUCCAUUACCGAGAUGAGAAACCCGAGGCUCAGAGAGGCCCUGUAAUUUGCUCAAGAACAAGAAACCACUACAUCUGAGAUCUUAUCCUUCUGACCCCUCGAUCCGGGUCUUUGCACAGGCAUGGCACCACUCUUGAGUACCCAAGUUAAAAUUCCAGCUCUAUCCUUUAGGAAUUUGACCUUGGCCAAGUUCUCAAAGUCUCCUGUGCCUUACUUUAAAAAAUACGUUUCUUUAAUAAAUGCACCUCAAUAAAGUUAUUGAGGGAUAAUUUACAUACAACAAAUGCACAGAUUUUAUGUGCCCAGCUUGAUGAAUUUUGACAAAUGGAUACCCCCAUGUAAUAACCACACAGUCAAGACGUGGAACAUUGUUCUUACCCCAGAAAGCCCUUCCUUCCGUGCAAACAAAAGGAAGCAAACAAAACUAUCUGCCUCAUAGUGUUAGGAAAAUCGAAUGAGAUAAUACAGGUGAGAUCCUUAGCAAGGCGCCUGGCACGCAGGAAACGCUGGAUAAAUGCAUUGCUAUCAUUCCCUGGCUGUCCCCCUCCUUGACUGGGGCAGGGAUCAGGGCAUAUGCUGAACCAUCUCCCUUCUCCAGCCUAAGGCCAUUUAGCCAGACUAGAAGAAGACUCGGGGGGAUGGAAUAUGUGUCUUGGAGGAGACUUGGAACCAUUUUCGUAAGUCUCCAGAAGCCAUGAUGGGGCUGGGGGUGGAGGAAUUGGCCAGCUUUUGCCUAUGUCUGGCCCAAAGAUAGGGUUUUGCAAUCAUAGCUCACUGAAACCUCAAACUCCUGGGCUCAAGCUGUCCUGUCUCAGCCUUUUGAUUAGCUGGGACUACAGGUAUAUAUGCCGCCAUGCCAUGCUAAUUUUUAAAUUUUUUGUAGAGACGGAGUCUUGCUAUGCUUCCCAGGCUGGCCUCAAACUCCUGGCCUCAAGUGAUCCUCCCGCCUUAGCCUCCCAAAGUAAGCCUGGCCAUCCUCUGUUCUUUUGAGACUCAAAGGAUGAAGGCGCUCAUGGCAGGGCCAGCUUCACAGGUUGGUGACCAAGGCAGCUGCACAGGGCCUUGCUGUCAGAAAGUCCCCACAACUUGGAUUAAUGCUCCCAUGUUAUGUGAAAUCCUUAAUAAUUUUUGAACAAGGGAUCUUGCAUUUUCAUUUUGCACUGGGCCCUGUAAAUUAUGCAGCUGGUGGUGAUGGUGGGGAGGGUGGAGCAAGCUGGCUGGUUUCCUCCCUAGAAAAGCCAGUGCUAUUGCCCUCCCCACUUCCACUCACUGACUACACACAGCUACACAUGCUCAUUCACCUCCAUGGUCCCCUCUCUGUCCCUCUCCACAGUGGGGCAUCUAGGAGAAUCUGGGUCACUCAGGGCCCUCCGCUGCCAGGAGACACCAACAGAACCUGGAAGCCUGCUUGGCCUGGAAACCCCCUUGGGAACAGCUCCUGCUCACAGGGCCUGCUGGGCAGGCCACCCGAAUUCCCAUCCUCUGACACUCCUCUCCAGCCGCCUCCACCCAGCUCUGCAGCUCAAGUGCAAAACCACAGCUGGGUGCCAGCCAAGGGGUCUUGGGUUUCAUCACAUUCAACUUCCCACACCUCGGCCAGAGGCCAGGGUCGAAUGGGGCUGCUGGCCAGAGGCCUGGGCUGGAAGGCAGAGGAGGGGGUGGGGUCCAGUCCUACCCUCGCUUCCUAUCCAUGGCAGAGUACCCCCUCUCUUAGGCCUCAGCUUCCCCUCUAUGUAAUGGGACAGGACUCCACAGGGCUGGAGCAGAUGCCAAGGAUGUCGGGAAGGAAGGCCUCAGAGGCCAAGGCAUCGAAGGAGCUCCUAGAACUUCACUGUCCAAUAUGGUGGCCUCAAGCCUCUCAUAGCCAUUUAAAUUUAAAGGAAUUUAAAGGAAAGAAAAUUCAUAUUUCAGUUCCUCAGUCACUCCAGUCACUUUUUUUUUUUUUUUUUUUUUUUUUUAGAUGGAGUCUUGCUCUGUCACCCAGGCUGGAGUGCAGUGGCACAAUCUCGGCUCAUUGCAACGUCUGCCUCCCGGGUUCAAGCGAUUUUCCCACCUCAGCCUCCUGAGUAGCUGGGAUUACAGGCACAUGCUGCCACACCUGGCUAAUUUUUUUGGUAUUUUUAGUAGAGACUGGGUUUCACCAUGUUGGCCAGGCUGGUCUUGAACUCCUGACCUCAAGUGAUCCACUCCCCUUGGCCUCCCAAAGUGCGGGGAUUACACGUGUGAGCCACUGAGCCUGGCCUCCAGUCACAUUUCAAGUACUCAGUAGGUAGCGACAGGUGGCUCAUGGCCACUGUAUUGAAUAGCACGGAUACAGAACAUCUCCGUCAAUACAGAAAGUUCUACCGAGACGCAUGCCCUGGCUAGGAAAGACCAGGUGCCAGGGACACUAGUAGCUUUACUCUCCUGGGGUGGGGAGCUGGGGCAGGGGGCUGUGAUUGAGAAACACUGGAGACAUCCUCUCACUCCUCUCCCCACCUCACCACGGAUGAGGUGGACUCGCCAUGAGGGGAGCCAGGAGCCUGACACCCAGUACAGGUGUGGACACCCCAGAGGCAGCUUCCAUCCUGACUCCUGGAGUGGAAAGCAGGCUUCCUGGGUCCCUGGGAAGAGGCACUGGGGGAAGCUUCAGAGAGGGAGGAAGUGGCCAGAAGCAGGUGCUCUUCCUAGCAAAGGGCUCCCCAGGAGCUACUUCCAAAUGGGAAACAUCAGCCCUCCCCAAUCCUCACCUCUGGAUGAAUUCCCUGAAGGCUUCAGGAGCAUUUGCAUGUUACAGUACAAUGGUCCUCAAACUUCAGCUUGCAUGGGAAUCCCUGGAAGCUUGCUAAGGCACAGCCAACUAAGUACAAACUUGAAACACGCACACUUCCACUGUCUAUGCGGCAGGCCGAAAUAGGGAUAUCUGGGUUCUGUCCAUCAUAGGGUUCAUUAUUGUGUGGGCCUGUCUGGGGCAGAUCAUUGAAAGAUAUUAGGUUGGUUUUAUCUGGGCAUCUUAGGGAUGCAGCAGAGAGGGUGAUAUGGCAGACCUCAGGAGAGACUGGUUGGGGGAGAGGAAAGAAAGGGGUGGAAGCGAGGGAUGGAGGACAGGGAGGGAGGAGGGAAGAGGGGGAUGGAGUGGGAGCCCGCUCGUGCAUCUCCUGCUGACCUUGUUCUUCCUACCUAUCUUCUCACCUCCUCCUCACAACCACCUUACAAGUCGGCAAAUGUGUGGCUCUGAGAGAUUACACAACCUUGCAGCAGAUACAUGGUCCCUAGGGAGUCAGGCUGGACUCUGUUUCCUCUACCUUUUCUCCCUCCAACUCUGAGUAUUUUCAAACGAAAUAAGCCUGGGAAGCGGGGAAGACUCAGAGCUGUGAAUACAUUUUUUUGUUUUCUGAGCUCAUUCGGCUUUGACAGGAAGCUUGGCUGCGUGCGGGCAGGCGUCUGAGCCCUCCCUCAAUGGUGCUUUUUAGGCAUGCCUUUAUACAGAAUGUAAAGAGUCGCAGUUAUAAAUAUCAGCGGGCUUCUGUGGCCCACUCCGUCCCUCAGCCCCCACGCCCAGCUGGGAUGUCCUGGGACUUCCCGCUUGCCCUCCUCCCCCAACCCCUCCAGCCAGUACCACCCUCAGUGCAUCUGGGAAGGGUGGGAACCGUGAUGCGCCUUGGGCUGGGAAACCAAGGGGGAGUGAAACCCAAAACUGAAUUUCUCCUUUUUCGGAAGAAAGGUUGUUUUCAGUGUCAGGAAACCCAUAAUCCUACAGCCAGCUGUGAAGAUUCCAGAAUGCCUCUCACUUUACAGGUGAGGAACUAGAGGGCCCCCUGGAAAGCUUAUGAACACCCUGACCCCAGAGCUCACCCUCCCUCACUGGGAAAGAAAGUCCCUCUUUUCACUUUGUCACCCCCACCCACCUCCCAAGGCACCCACAGCAUGGUCACUCUUUGAUGACUGUUUGUAUUAUAAGCGGCUCCUCCAACUCUGUUCUACAGUCCCCUCCAUGGAUGCCCUGGAGGGAGGAGGCAGGCGAGACGCGGUCCCAUUUUACAGACGGCCAAAGAGUUGAGUGACUACACAGCUCAUCCCAGGAGAGCUGCCUGGCCCUGCUUCCUGAUAGCCGGCCUGUGCCCCUAGACCUCCCCCGACCCCACAGGCCCCCUCCCCCUCCCUGUAUGCACCCCCUGUCCCCUCACUGAGGCCCAGGAGCACAGUUGAUUUAGAAUUUCCUGCCCUUCUGACAAUCUGCGUGCACAAAACGGGCUUUCUUUAAACCGCUUCGAAGGGCAUCUCCUCCAGCCCCUUCCCCUGCCUUCAUUAAACGCCUCGUCUGAAGCAGGAUAAAUCUUCGGUGAUUAGAAGCAUGCUCCUUGUUCCUGUCCCUGCCCCGAUGGGAAGCGCAUUUCUCAAAGGGUUAAUUAACAGCCUUCACACAGGCCGCAUUUAGCAACGAACACAAAGCCACACACAUAAAUAACGUCUGGGGCGGAAGAAGAGGGUGCAGAUGGUUUGUGACUUUGCCGUCCAGAGUUUUCUAAACCGGUGUGAACCACGUCCUGUCGGGACCAGGACCAUGAGUCAGGGUCAGGCUUUAAGGUGGGCCAGGCCAGAGACGCUAGUGGCCAACUUGGUGCUCUUUGAAAGCAAGUCCUAAAGGAAAACAGAGCGUGGAGCCAAGAUGUGGGGAGAGAGGGAGGGGACGGGGUAGGGAGGAGGGCCUGCUGGCUGACCUGGAGAGAAAAGAGCCAAAGAGAGCCAGAGAUGCGAACCGGGAAGAACCAAGCAGGAGGCCAGAGACAUUGAGUCCCAGCUCCCUGCAAAGUAGUGCUGAAUUUACCAGGGGCUCCACCCAGAAAUUCAGACCCUGGGGCAUAGGGUCCCACUCUGGCCCUGUAGUGAGAGUGAUGGCAAGACAUCCCCAGCCUAAGAGGAGUUGUGUGGGGCUGAGAAAAGGGUUUCAGGAAGGAUAGCCCUGAGGAACCCUGGAAAGUUCUGGAAGUGGCACAGUGAUAUUCGCAGUAUUCCGCCUCAUCCAUGCAUAGGGUCUGUUCCUCUACGCAGCCUUCAGCUCCCCUGGGGGCUCAUAUGCCCCUUCCCAAAGCUAUGGGAACACAUCUGAGGUCUCAAAAUGCAUGGCAACAGGAACACAGGAUUCACUUUACAGAGAUCAGCACUGUUGCAAGGGAUGCCUGAAGCCAAAACAGAGGAAAACGAGAGCCAAGAAGCAGAGGGAGCGAUGCAGAUGUGCACUGGACAUCCACAAACCGCAACAGGAAUGGGGAGAGGAGAGAAGUGAUUGGAAAGCCAGUUUUUGGCAUUCGGCUGGCUGCCAUUCUCUUCACCUUUGUGGUCCCUCCAGUUUGCCCUCCUCAGCCCUAAGGGGUCCUCCCCUACUCGGAGAGGCCCUCACCAUGCUCACUCAGACCCUCUCCUCCUAGGAGCCAGGAGGUGGGACAUGGGGAGGGGGACAGUGAGUCCUGAAUGGAUUUCUGCCCUGGAGGUGAGGGCACCCCUGGUGCCAGGGAGAGGCCCUACCACAGCACAAACUGGGCUGCCCUUCCUGACCCAGGGAUGAACCAGCCUGGGCACUCAGGCCACGGCUGUCUCCCUGUGCCAGGCUCAGCGCCCUGGGGAUGAGGGCGCAAAGAAAGAGACGGGGCCGACAACACAGGCCCAACAGCAGGCCCUGUGUCUGGGAGCGGCAGUUUCUCCCCAAGUAAUUUUCCACAGUUUGGCUUUUCCUCCACACACAGGCUUGCUCACAGAGUUCAGAUGGUGGCUGGUCCUCCAGAGGGUUACUCUGGGCCACUCACCUGCUCGGUGACCCCACCUGCAUUGAUUUCUGCCCUCAUCACUCAGCUGUCUCCAGCUUGCUUCUCAAAGCCCUGUGCCCAUCUCAGGGAUAUGGCUUCUCCAGCCCCCAGAGCUCACUUCACCCCAUCAGGGCCUGGAUCUUGGGUAGUUAUGGGAACCCCUAAAUGCACCAUCCUCUCUGGGCCAGGGCCAACAUUUCUGUUUUCUCAGAAGGAUCAAAGCCCCUUUCCUAGCCCUGCCAGGAGGAAGCAGUUUUGACUCGUGCAAAUAUCUGAAGCCCAUUUGGGAUUUUACUUUGGUGAGAAAUAAAUACACAGCCAUCUGCAAAUGAUGGAAAUAUGACUUAAGUAACUUUUUGGUCGAGGCUCCUGGGCCAGAGGCCAGAUGGAAAUAAGACCUUGUAUCUCAGUCCUCCUUGCACACUUUCAGAAAAAAGAAAAGGCUGGGGGAAAAAGUUGGUGGAAACUGAAGUUCAAAAUGGAGUGUGCUAAAUUUCUUGGCCUGGGAAAGGAAAAAUAAACAUCAAACAGCUACCCCAUUCAAGUGUGCGUUAUCUUGCUCAUCCUCGCCAAGAACUCACCCUCCUCCCUUCUUUGACCGGGAAUUGCUGUGCCCACGAACAGCCCCCACGCCCACCCCUAACCCAGGGCAGGCAAACAAUGGGCCAGAAAACCCUGCUCAGCCAAGGCCUCUCCCCCUGCAGCCCCCAGAGGCCAUAAGAUUGGGAAACACAGGCUAUUUUUAUGUGUUAUUUGUCUACCAACUGUGGCUCCAGGAGCCUGAGCAACAGUAUCAUCUGUGGGAGGUACCAUUGAUUUUUUUGUUUUAACUCGCUCAGACAAAGCCACAUUUUCGCAACUUUCAGAAAAGCCAAAAAAGCAACACUCUGCAAGGCUGACCUCUUCCCUGGCUUGCCUUUCUGCCCUCCAGGGAGCUCUUUCUGGGUGUGUCUGGGCCCCUGUUGCUCUGUGCUGGCCCACACCAAGCACACAGCCCCAGAUCCAGAGGGCCCAAAGGAUAGCCAGUGAAACAAGGAAGGGUGAGGGGGGCAGAGAGAGGAUCUGAGGAGAAGGGGUAGUGUCUCCAACUGGUGAGGGAGGCACAAACCCUGCCCUGGGGGUGCCAGUGUGAUGGAGCAGUGGGGCUAACAGAAGAGUGUGAGAAGUCGCACACAGAGAAAAUGGCUGCUUGAUAGCCAUCCAUCUCCCAAGUCCACGGGUUGGGAUGCUCUGUGCAGCGGGUACACCCAGAGGCAGAUACAGGGCUGAGAGGGUGCAGGCCAGGUGCGACUGCCUAGGCUGGGGCUGAAAGAAUCCAGCUGGCAGAGGUGGCUCACACCUGUAAUCCCAGCACUAUGGGACGCCGAGGCACGAGUCC
rnacentral:lncRNA from 1 species